rnacentral:rRNA from 1 species
UACAGAGACUGCAAGCGUUAUUCGGAUUCACUGGGUUUAAAGGGUGCGUAGGUGGGCUAGUAAGUCCGUGGUGAAAUCUCCAAGCUUAACUUGGAAACUGCCGUGGAUACUAUUAGUCUUGAAUAUUGUGGAGGUAAGCGGAAUAUGUCAUGUAGCGGUGAAAUGCUUAGAUAUGACAUAGAACACCGAUAGCGAAGGCAGCUUGCUACACAAUCAUUGACACUGAGGCACGAAAGCGUGGGGAUCAAACAGG